UACGUAGGGUGCGAGCGUUGUCCGGAAUUACUGGGCGUAAAGAGCUCGUAGGCGGUUUGUCGCGUCUGCUGUGAAAACUGGAGGCUCAACCUCCAGCCUGCAGUGGGUACGGGCAAACUAGAGUGCGGUAGGGGAGAUUGGAAUUCCUGGUGUAGCGGUGGAAUGCGCAGAUAUCAGGAAGAACACCCGUGGCGAAAGCGGCUCUCUGGAACGGUACUGACGCUGAGACGCGAAAGCGUGGGGAGCGAACAGG
rnacentral:rRNA from 1 species